UACGUAGGGUGCAAGCGUUGUCCGGAAUUAUUGGGCGUAAAGAGCUCGUAGGCGGUUCGUCGCGUCGGCUGUGAAAACCCGGAGCUCAACUCCGGGCCUGCAGUCGAUACGGGCGGACUUGAGUUCGGCAGGGGAGGACUGGAAUUCCUGGUGUAGCGGUGAAAAUGCGUAGAUAUCAGGAGGAACACCGGUGGCGAAGGCGGGUCUCUGGGCAGUAACUGACGCUGAGGAGCGAAAAGCCGUGGGGGAGCGAAACAGG
rnacentral:rRNA from 1 species